rnacentral:lncRNA from 1 species
AAAAAAUUGAAAAAUAAAGAAGAACACACUUAACGUGGCCCAGGGACUUGGAAAAACUUCUGUUUCUCCGUGAGUUAAUUUUGUGGCCCCUUAGUGACACCCCUUCCCCUCACUGAACAAUACCUCCCAGAUUUUCCUCCUGUUGCUUUUGUUUUCAGCCAUAUGAUCCUAUUGCUGUUUCUUGAACAAACCAAACCUGGCUCUGCACCUGGCUCACUUCAUACCCAUUCCACUUGCAGGACUGUCUUCUUGCUCCCUGAAAUCUGGAUCAAGGUGGUUUUGUCACAUGGAUUAUCCUGCUGCCGUGCUUUGAAGAUUCGCUCAAGAUUCCAGGGUUGGAAAGUGAAAACCCAGAGGAAUGGUGUGGAGAGGCAAGGUUCAAGAUGCUGUCUCUGUUCUCAGAGAUGAGUUCAUCUCAGUAUCAGCCACAGCUCCCUAUAGAGGAGGGACCCUGUGAUUGCUCUCGUUCUUACGUACCUGGUACCUUCUGACAUGGCAGGCAAGCACUUACUAGUUGCCAGGGACUUGCUCCUCUCCAGAAUUGCAAGAAAAUAAAUCUGCUCUCCAUCAAAAUCCCCA